rnacentral:rRNA from 1 species
GACGAACGCUGGCGGCGUGCUUAACACAUGCAAGUCGAACGGGUCUGCCCUGUUUUUUGCGGGGUGGGUCAGUGGCGAACGGGUGAGUAACACGUGAGUAACCUGCCCCUCACUUCUGGAUAACCGCUUGAAAGGGUGGCUAAUACGGGGUGUUCUGGCUGUGCCGCAUGGUGUGGCUGGGAAAGAUUCACUUUUGUGGUGUUUUGGUGGGGGAUGGGCUCGCGGCCUAUCAGCUUGUUGGUGGGGUGAUGGCCUGCCAAGGCUUUGACGGGUAGCCGGCCUGAGAGGGUGGGCGGUCACACGGGGACUGGGAGACGGCCCAGACUCCUGCGGGAGGCAGCAGUGGGGGGUAUUGCACAAUGGGCGGAAGCCUGAUGCAGCGACGUCGCGUGAGGGAUGGAGGCCUUCGGGUUGUGAACCUCUUUCGCCGGUGAAGAAGGUCCUGCUCUUUGUGGUGGGGUUGACGGUAGCCGGGUUAUGAAGCGCCGGCUAACUACGUG